GAUGAACGCUGGCGGCGUGCUUAACACAUGCAAGUCGAACGGUGAACGAGGGAGCUUGCUCCCUCCGGAUCAGUGGCGAACGGGUGAGUAACACGUGAGCAAUCUGCCCCGAACUCUGGGAUAAGCGCUGGAAACGGCGUCUAAUACCGGAUACGACGCGCGAAGGCAUCUUCUGCGCGUGGAAAGAAUUUCGGUUCGGGAUGAGCUCGCGGCCUAUCAGCUGGUUGGUGAGGUAACGGCUCACCAAGGCGACGACGGGUAGCCGGCCUGAGAGGGUGACCGGCCACACUGGGACUGAGACACAGCCCAGACUCCUACGGGAGGCAGCAGUGGGGAAUAUUGCACAAUGGGCGCAAGCCUGAUGCAGCAACGCCGCGUGAGGGACGACGGCCUUCGGGUUGUAAACCUCUUUUAGUAGGGAAGAAGCGAAAGUGACGGUACCUGCAGAAAAAGCACCGGCUAACUACGUGCCAGCCGCCGCGGUAACAC
rnacentral:rRNA from 1 species